rnacentral:misc_RNA from 1 species
AAGUCGUAACAAGGUCUCCGUAGGUGAACCUGCGGAGGGAUCAUUAACACGUUCCAAAACGUUCAACCAAACUUCGUCAUGUGAACUUAUAUCCUCCCUGAAGUAAGAAAACUAUUGCUGUUGUUGGCAAAUCUCGUGGUGGGUGCAGCGUAGCUUCGUCUACACUGCACGGUUUGCUCAAUGACUGUGAGGCGCCUCGGUGACCUCAGGGCAUUUCUUAUUUUGGGAUUUUCACUGCCACGGUUUUCUUAACCCCUUUCACUUCGAUUCUGCUGACGCCUUUUCGCGAAGGCCGAUCAGGGUCUAUAAAAAUUGACUAACAAUUUUUGCUGUUGAAAAACAGUGAAACAAUAAAUGAACCAAAGCACAACUCUUAGCAACGGAUAUCUUGGUUCUC